rnacentral:rRNA from 1 species
AUGGUUUUUUAUUUCUGCUUUUCCUUCUUGGCAGACUUCAGGUUCUUGAAAAGGCCUAUUCUUGUCCAUGCACGAUACUCACACAACCAUACUGCCUUCCUUUCGCAAUAUUCAUUCUACAAGUCAUUGUUAAUUUGUUUUAUUCAGAUACUUUUUAAUUUUUGUUUCAGGUAUUGCCGAACAAGUUUAUUCAAUUCAGUUAGUUUGAUGGCUUAUAAUGCCUUCUACACAAGCAUUCCUGUUCUAACUACUGCUCUGGACAAGGAUUUAUCUGAAAAGACAGUGGCACAGAACCCAGAAAUUUUACUUUACUGCCAGGUUGGAAGGGCUUUUAAUCCAAGUACAUUUGCUGGUUGGUUUGGUCGAUUAUUAUAUCAUGCAAUUGUUAUUUUCUUAAUCACCACUCAUGCUUAUGCCGAUGAAAAAGGUGAGACGGAGGAGUUGUCAAUGGUUGCUCUCUCAGGAAGUACAUUGUUGCAGGCGUCUGUCUGUUGUGACAUUAGAGAUGAGUUCUUUCACUUCUCUGCGGUUUCUGCCAAAUGGGGAAACUUUGCUGCUUUCCACAUCAUAAAUUUCUGUAUCGGCAGCAUACCAACUGCUGGGAUGUACACUAUCAUGUACCGCCUUUGUAGACAGCCGCCAUACUGGAUAACAAUGGCGCUAAUCAGUGGAGUUGGCAUGGGUCCUGUAAUAGCUCUGAAAUAUUUGAAAUAUACAAGUCCUAGUGCUAUUAACAUUCUUGAGAAGACCGAGCAAUCACGCGGCCCUAUGUAUACCCUGGUAAAUCUGGAAUCUCAACUGAGGUCAGAGAACGAUAAUUCGACCAGCUCCAUAUCGACCGCGUCGGUCAAGAAUAAGAGCUCAGUUUAUGAGCCCCUGCUGUCUGAUUCUCCUAUGGCAUCCAGGAGAUCAUCACUAGCACCGUCAUCAUUUGACAUCUUUCAUCCAGCUCAGUCAAGGGUUGCAGCUGCUUAUCCCAGAAAUAUUAAAACCAGUUAA